rnacentral:pre_miRNA from 1 species
CUUAAAGACGUCGUUGACUUUUUAUCAAAUGUUUGAUCAUUCGUCUUAUUCAAAGAAUUUACGUAAUUAUAAUUUAUUUUAUUAUGAGUUGUUUUAUAACUCAUAGUAUUUUAUGUGUGAUUUAUAUCUUAUACAUUUGCAUAAAAUUUUUGAAUAAGACGAAUGGUCAAACAUGUGAGAAAAAGUCAACGGUGUCAUCUAUU